rnacentral:rRNA from 1 species
GAUGAACGCUGGCGGCGUGCCUAAUACAUGCAAGUCGAGCGAAUGGAUUAAGAGCUUGCUCUUAUGAAGUUAGCGGCGGACGGGUGAGUAACACGUGGGUAACCUGCCCAUAAGACUGGGAUAACUCCGGGAAACCGGGGCUAAUACCGGAUAACAUUUGAACCGCAGGGUUCGAAAUUGAAAGGCGGCUUCGGCGUUCACUAAUGGAUGGACCCGGGUCGCAUUAGCUAGUUGGUGAGGUAACGGCUCACCAAGGCAACGAUGCGUAGCCGACCUGAGAGGGUGAUCGGCCACACUGGGACUGAGACACGGCCCAGACUCCUACGGGAGGCAGCAGUAGGGAAUCUUCCGCAAUGGACGAAAGUCUGACGGAGCAACGCCGCGUGAGUGAUGAAGGCUUUCGGGUCGUAAAACUCUGUUGUUAGGGAAGAACAAGUGCUAGUUGAAUAAGCUGGCACCUUGACGGUACCUAACCAGAAAGCCACGGCUAACUACGUGCCAGCCGCCGCGGUAA